rnacentral:rRNA from 1 species
AGUUCACAUCGACGGGGAGGUUUGGCACCUCGAUGUCGGCUCAUCGCAUCCUGGGGCUGUAGUCGGUCCCAAGGGUUGGGCUGUUCGCCCAUUAAAGCGGUACGCGAGCUGGGUUCAGAACGUCGUGAGACAGUUCGGUCCCUAUCCGGCGUGGGCGUAGGAAAUUUGAGAGGAGCUGUCCUUAGUACGAGAGGACCGGGAUGGACAUACCUCUGGUGUACCAGUUGUCGUGCCAACGGCAUAGCUGGGUAGCUAUGUAUGGACGGGAUAAGUGCUGAAAGCAUCUAAGCAUGAAGCCCCCCUCAAGAUGAGAUUUCCCAACUUCGGUUAUAAGAUCCCUCGAAGAUGACGAGGUUAAUAGGUUCGAGGUGGAAGCGUGGUGACACGUGGAGCUGACGAAUACUAAUCGAUCGAAGACUUAAUCAAUUUUUAAA